rnacentral:rRNA from 1 species
ACGGAGCAACGCCGCGUGAGUGAUGAAGGGUUUCGGCUCGUAAAACUCUGUUAUUAGGGAAGAACAAACGUGUAAGUAACUGUGCACGUCUUGACGGUACCUAAUCAGAAAGCCACGGCUAACUACGUGCCAGCAGCCGCGGUAAUACGUAGGUGGCAAGCGUUAUCCGGAAUUAUUGGGCGUAAAGCGCGCGUAGGCGGUUUCUUAAGUCUGAUGUGAAAGCCCACGGCUCAACCGUGGAGGGUCAUUGGAAACUGGGAAACUUGAGUGCAGAAGAGGAAAGUGGAAUUCCAUGUGUAGCGGUGAAAUGCGCAGAGAUAUGGAGGAACACCAGUGGCGAAGGCGACUUUCUGGUCUGUAACUGACGCUGAUGUGCGAAAGCGUGGGGAUCAAACAGGAUUAGAUACCCUG